rnacentral:rRNA from 1 species
AGAGUUUGAUUAUGGCUCAGGAUGAACGCUGGCGGCGUGCCUAACACAUGCAAGUCGAACGGAGUUACGAGAGCUUGCUUUGUAACUUAGUGGCGGACGGGUGAGUAAUGUAUGAGCAACCUGCCUUUCAGAGGGGGACAACAGUUGGAAACGACUGCUAAUACCGCAUAACGUAUUCGGGGGGCAUCCCUUGGAUACCAAAGGAGCAAUCCGCUGAAAGAUGGGCUCAUAUCUGAUUAGCUAGUUGGUGGGGUAACGGCUCACCAAGGCUGCGAUCAGUAGCCGGACUGAGAGGUUGAACGGCCACAUUGGGACUGAGAUACGGCCCAGACUCCUACGGGAGGCAGCAGUGGGGAAUAUUGGGCAAUGGGCGAAAGCCUGACCCAAGCAACGCCGCGUGAAGGAAGAAGGUCUUCGGAUUGUAAACUUCUUUUAUGAGGGACGAAGGACGUGACGGUACCUCAUGAAUAAGCCACGGCUAACUACGUGCCAGCAGCAGC